CUGCAAUGAAAUUUCAGGCUGCCAAUCGAUUUUGCCGCUGCUGCAGCUUGGGAUUUGCCUUUUUUGGGCCUUGGAAUGCGGCAUGUUGCUGCUGUGUUGCUGUAGCUGUUGCUGUUGUGUUGUGUUGCUGCUGGUCCUGCUAAGCCCCCGGCUGCAACGUCGCGGCAGAGCAGCUACAGCAACCUCCAACGGGAGCAGCAACAAUGUGUUCUAAAUAAAUUCCGGCGAAAUGAAAUUCAGGGAGCAGGGAGUCGAGAAGGGGUCGCAGAUGUAUCUUAAAGAUACAAAUUCUGUACGCUGCGCGCAACGUGAUUGCAAUCUUUAGCAUCGUCAUCAUCAUCAGCAGCAGCAACAACAUACAGGAUUACUCGACCGAUCUGCGCUUGAAGGAGCCCUAUUGGCGUUGAGUAAUAUUUCAUUUUAUAGUCAAUUUAAUCAAUACAUAUACCCUAUACUACAAAUCCUCCCUGAAUACCCUGUAAAUACCGGCUAACAGCAAGAGGAAGAGCAACGCAAGGCACGAGUUUCGAGGCUGCCAAGGCCCCAAAGCCCCAAAAAAAGGAAACAAACGACACACACCAUAAGGCAGCCACGCAGCAGAGAACGUCGACGUCGACGUCGCGCGUGCGUAGUGCGAGCGGAUGAAUACAGUGAAAAAAAAGUAUCCAGGCUGUAAGUCAGAUCCAACCCUUAGAGGUUUGAUCGAGCAUACGUUCUACAGGGCAAUUAUCGAUUCAGUAAUCUUUACACACAAAACGUCAUCAUUUUCUCGCUGUGCAAAUUGUUUGCCUGUUGUUGACUUACCUGUUUUGGCCUUUCCUUUGCUUUUCUUCCUUUAGAGGAGAUUUCUUCGCCAGGAACAUGUGGAAUCUCGAGGGGGGUUAUAUGGCCGCUAAAAAUCGACGAAAUCAUCCAAGCUCCGUACAGUAGCUGCUGCCCUGGCUCCGUUUGCCUGGCUGCUCUUUUUUUAUGUUUUUAAUGAGCUUUUAUAUGGGCUGCAGGAUCGGAAGAACCAGUGGCAAGGGGAAAGGAAUGACCCGGGGCAGCCAAGCUGCAUCUCCAUGUCAGCCGGAGGAGAUGAUGGUGCUUUUCGCUCUUGCGGUCUACCCACAACAAGCCUAGACAUGGACUUCUCGGCUAUCAAUGGAUUCACGGUAAUGUAUUUGGUUCCCAUGGGCUCGGGAAAGAGAAGGAGCUGGGGGGCUGGUUGCCAUAUUAUUAUGGUAACACAGUUUUAGGCAGAAAUAGAAAUAAACCGCAGGAAAAACACUUGUUCAAACAGAGGCGUGUGAAGUGUGCGGAAUGUAUGCACAUAUACAAUUUCACACAUGACACACAUCUCAAAACAAUUUACUUAAAAUCAAGUUACAGAUCUAUAGAUACUAAUGCAGCACGUCAGAAUCUGAAUUAUAGUUCUAUAUAUUUUGAGUCCGUAAUAUAUGUGUAGAGUCGAUCAACUGAUCGAAGAAUCAUUGCAUCUGAAACAAAGCCUAAAGAAGUAAAAGAACUUGGCGUAUCUCAGAUCGUUCAGCUCGUGCGCCAGAAAUAUUUGAAAAGCUGCGAAAAGGGGAGUCCCGAGUGGGGGGAGGUGAAAUGGAGUAUGUGGAGCCCGGCGAAAUACCUUUCUCGACUCAGUUCCCGACUCACAGCUCAAUCUGCAGCUGUCAGGUGUGGCCGGCUAAUUGAGAGUCGCGUUACGAGAUCAUCUUGACACUUUGGAGGCACCUGCCGCCGGACGAGGCGAAUCCGGCAAUGAUUAACUAGUCACUCCGACUGAGGGGCAGAUUGGUGGUUACCUCCGCAGCAUCGGGCAUCACAUCCUUGGCUGCAUUCAGGUAGGACUUGGCCCCCAAAAUGUCUCCAGACUGAGCAGCCAACACAGCCAAGUUAUUAAGUGCGGCUCCAUUCUGGGCAUCUGAUGUGAGGCAUAGUUGGAGACAUCUUUUGGCUAAGUUGAAGUCACCAGAAGUCUGUCGGAAAGUAUUUCAAUAAUGUAUACAUUAAAUAUACAUUAAACCCCACUUACCACCGCCACAAAACUGAGAUUAUACCAGAUGUCUGCUUUUUGGCCGGGUUGGGUAGCCGUGGCCAAAGCUCGUUGGAAACACGGCAGAACCAAGUCGAUUUGCCCGCCAUAUAGACAACACAGCGCUAUAUUGCAGUAGAGCUCAGGAGACUGUGCUCCCAAGGACAAAAUCCUUCGGUAGUACAUCAACUAAGCCCACAGCAAUGCUGGCGAGAGAUUCCACAUUGAUUGGAUGCAGUUUGGCCACCAGUCUGUACAGCUGCAGUGCGUCCUCCUGCUGUUCC